rnacentral:rRNA from 1 species
GAGUUUGAUCAUGGCUCAGGAUGAACGCUGGCGGCGUGCUUAACACAUGCAAGUCGAACGGAGAUCACUCCAUUGAGGCUUCGGCGGAUUUGGUUUGAUCUUAGUGGCGGACGGGUGAGUAACGCGUGGGUAACCUGCCUUAUACAGGGGGAUAACAGUCGGAAACGGCUGCUAAUACCGCAUAAGCGCACAGUCCCGCAUGGGACAGUGUGAAAAACUCCGGUGGUAUAAGAUGGACCCGCGUUGGAUUAGCUAGUUGGCAGGGCAAUGGCCUACCAAGGCGACGAUCCAUAGCCGGCCUGAGAGGGUGAACGGCCACAUUGGGACUGAGACACGGCCCAGACU